CCCUUAGAUGUUCUGGGCCGCACGCGUGCUACACUGAUGCAUUCAACGAGUCUAAAACCUGGUCUGAUAGGGCUGGGUAAUCUUUUGAAAGUGCAUCGUGAUUGGGAUAGAUGAUUGCAAUUCUUCAUCUUCAACGAGGAAUGCCUAGUAAACGCAAGUCAUCAGCUUGCAUUGAUUACGUCCCUGCCCUUUGUACACACCGCCCGUCGCUACUACCGAUUGAAUGAUUUAGUGAGUACCAGGGACCGAGCGCUUUGGUUGGGUUUCCUUCCCUAGCGCUUGGGAACUGUCGCAAACUUGACCAUUUAGAGGAAGUAAAAGUCGUAACA
rnacentral:rRNA from 1 species